rnacentral:lncRNA from 1 species
CUCCUCUUCUUCGCACACUCUCUUCUUCCUCUCACCCUCUCCUCUUCAUCUUGCUCUCCUCCUCACUCUCUCCUCUUCCUCCUCUCUCCUCUUCCUCCUCUCUCCUCUUCCUCCUCUCUCUCACUCGCUCCUCUUCCUCCUCUCUCUCACUGUCUUCUUCAUCUCACUCUCUCCUCUUCUUCUUCUCAGACUCUCCUUCUUACUCCUCUUCUUCUCACACUAUCCUCUUCUUCAUAUCUCUCUCCUUUUCUUCUCACUCUCUUCUUUCUCCUCUCUCCUCUUCUUCUCCCUUUCUCCUCUUCCUUUUCUCUCCUCUUCUUC